GGAUGUGAGAGUGACUUGGCUGAAACAUCUGUCACCACAUUGAUGGCCAGAGUUUGUUCUACUGAUCAAGCUGCCUGGGUGGGUGUCCCCUUUCUCCCACACCACUCCAUGUGCAUCCCUCCCAAAGUGGCUCUAAUCAAAGAGGACAGCAACCCCAGAUAGAGGAGGACCAUUUCUUGGUCAAAGGUAUAUGAAAAGCUGGGGUCUCCUGCUAGAACUUUCAACUAAGCUCCUCAAGAAAUAUCCAUGACACAUCAAACUCAAAUCUAAGAAAUACAGCACAGGAAAGAUUCCUCCAAGGUU
ensembl:misc_RNA 7SK 7SK RNA